UACGGAGGAUGCAAGCGUUAUCCGGAUUUAUUGGGUUUAAAGGGUCCGUAGGCGGAUCUUUAAGUCAGUGGUGAAAGCCUACAGCUCAACUGUAGAACUGCCAUUGAUACUGGAGGUCUUGAGUAUAAUUGAAGUGGGCGGAAUACGUCAUGUAGCGGUGAAAUGCAUAGAUAUGACGUAGAACACCGAUUGCGAAGGCAGCUCACUAAGUUAUAACUGACGCUGAGGGACGAAAGCGUGGGGAGCAAACAGG
rnacentral:rRNA from 1 species